AUUGAACGCUGGCGGCAUGCUUUACACAUGCAAGUCGAACGGCAGCGCGGGCUUCGGCCUGGCGGCGAGUGGCGAACGGGUGAGUAAUAUAUCGGAACGUGCCCAGUAGUGGGGGAUAGCUCGGCGAAAGCCGGAUUAAUACCGCAUACGACCUGAGGGUGAAAGCGGGGGAUCUUCGGACCUCGCGCUAUUGGAGCGGCCGAUGGCAGAUUAGCUAGUUGGUGGGGUAAAGGCCUACCAAGGCGACGAUCUGUAGCUGGUCUGAGAGGACGACCAGCCACACUGGGACUGAGACACGGCCCAGACUCCUACGGGAGGCAGCAGUGGGGAAUUUUGGACAAUGGGCGAAAGCCUGAUCCAGCAAUGCCGCGUGUGUGAUGAAGGCCUUCGGGUUGUAAAGCACUUUUGGCGGGAACGAAAAGGACUGUGCCAAUACCACGGUUCGAUGACGGUACCCGCAGAAUAAGCACCGGCUAACUACGUG
rnacentral:rRNA from 1 species